UUUAUACACGCGUAAAAAUUGAUCAGGUUGUUGCAACAUUGUUCGCUGAACAACGUUGCAACAAUGAGGUUAUCAUGGCUGAACAACGUUGUUCAAGCGACAAUCGUUAACAACAUUGUUCCAACAACUUGUUCACGCUUGAUGAACGAACAAUGGUUGUUGCAACAUGAUGGAACAAGCGUCCGACAAGGUUGAUGAAACAUGCUUGAUAAAUGUUGUCAGAACAAUGUUGUUCAGCGUUGUUCAUUCAUCAGGCGUCAACAAUAUUGUUCGAACAAGCGUGAACAACAUUGAUGAAAGAACAAGUUGUUUUUAGUUGUUCGAACAACCGUGAACAGCAUUGUUAUAAAUAGACGGUAAAAUAAUGAUUUGAACAACACGAAAACGUGUUUUUAUUGGUUGUUGCGAACCGCUGGGAUGCAAAACGGACGAAUGCCACGAAUAUCACGAGAGCAAGAAAUCAAACGGGCUUUUACAGCAAAAUAAAUGUGGUUUAAACUUUGUGGUUUUUUCUGAAGAUUGAGCAUUUGAGGGGAAAAUACUGAAGAAAAUAACUUGGUAAGUGUCUUGUUUUGAGGUAAGGUUAGUUGUAAAAGCUUAAAACAACGCGACCUUUUAAUUUUAGUCAUUUUCAUAGUACACGAAGAAAUGCACACGCACAAAGUUUAUAGUACUUUUAUAUAGGUAUUGCAUUUUGAUAUUUUUCUCGAUAUUUUCAGUAUAUAUGAAACAAGAAACCACGGUCAUACUGUAAUAAAAAGCCAUAAUAGAAACAAAACAUUUAAUUCUCAAAAUCUUGUUGAAAUUUUUCCAAUUGCACUUUAAAUUUCUGUCAGAGUCUUUUUAACUUUGAAUAUGUCAAAAUCAUAUCAUAUGUCCUUCGCCCCUUCCGUCCCUAUUGUUGUUUGUAAUUUUGAUCACUGCUAUAUAUAAACAAUUCCUAUUGUGUUUUAACAAGGUCAACCAAAUAUUUGGUCAGUUUACACACCAAGAAUGAUGUAUUUACUGCAUAUAAUAUGUGAUGGAUAGAUUAUAGGUAUUUCCUUUUAUUUCCUGGUUAAGCAGGUGACUAUAAUUGUCAUGGAAGGUAUGAAGGAGGUAGCUAUGAUUUUAUCACAUGGCUAUGGGGGAUAAUUAUGACCAUUAUUAUGCUCAAAUGUAAUUAUUGUCUCAUUUUUAUCCUUUUUGUAGUGUAAACUUAAGUAUAAAAAUAAAGAUUUAUGAAUAUGUCAGACAAAUUAUAUAAAAUGGGUGAUCACUUGGUAAGUAAUUUUUAUACCUUUGUUGUGGUCUGUGUAGAUGGAGGCUAUUUUGGCAAUAGCCAUGCACUUAGACAUAGCAUGACCAGUCCAUAUGUGGACUGCCUAUAUGUCUAUUAAACAUGAUUGAAUACCCAAAUUAGAUUCAAGAUUAUGAUAUGUCCCAGGCAUGGAUCCAAAAAUGACCAUGUACUGAAGUUAUAUAUGGCAUGAGCCAUGUAAAACAUGGUGGGAAACAUACAAUUGGGGCUGCAUCCCACCAUAAUGCACUAGUCAAUUGAAACCCCGACCCCCGGGAUAGGGAGGGGAAAUUAACAUUUUGACAAUGUUAAAUUUUGGACAUUUCCCUGCUACCGGGAGAAUAUUGUAAUUUGACUGUUAAAAUUACUGUCCCUAUGGCCCCAGCACUAAUUUGCAAAUUUUCAUGACUUGGGAAAUUUUCAUGACUUGGGAAUUGUCCUGGCUAAUAAAUUGACUUGUUAUUUACCCUGUACCCCGGGGAAAUCUGCAUUAAGACCGUGUUAAUUAAUCCACGGCCAUUCCCCCGUUAAUUCCCCGCCCUGUCCCGGGGUUGGGGGUUUCAAUUGACUAGUACAUGCAUAAACAUUGCAAAGGUCCGUUUUGUAAAUUAAUGGCACUAUGUAUUUAAUCUUAAUUUAUAGGGCCUGUGAGUUCAUAUCUGGAAUAAAAUAGUGGCAAAUCUACAGAAAUAUCACUGCUAAGGAGUGUCAAACAAAUUCAGGAGGACUGACUUAACUGGAUGUUCUCAGGAUGAAAAAGAAAUUGUUGACUUUAAUUGAAUAAUCAUUAUCAUUAAUGUAAGGUUAAAAAUAUUGAACAUUCAAAAGGAUGCAGACAGAAAAUUGAAAGUAGGGCCUGAAUUUCAGGUUAAGUGAUCCAGGAAUGGGGUUGGCCCUCUGCAGCUAGGCUAAAUCAAUUGAGGGAGAUCCCUUUAUUUCAAGUUAAAUGAUUAUUUGAAUAAGAUGCCAUUCAGGCAAUAAGGGCCUGGUUAGGUCCAUAUUUUAAUUCAAAUUAUUAAGUACUCCAUUUAUCCAUCAACAAAACCCAACAUUAAAAUUUCCAUCGAGUGAGAUGCAACAAAACCAUCUAUAGUUUAUUAAUUAUGUUAACCUAAUCCAUCAAUUGGCAAUGAGCCUACUUUAGUAUAUUAUAUAUAUUCUCUCUAAUUUGCCCAUUAUAUUUAUAAACUGACAGUUAAUACCAUUACUCUUUCACAUACUAAUAAAAUCAUCUGGGCCCGGUUGUUCGAAGCCCGUGUAAGCCUUUGAACUACCGGCCCCAGAUGAUUUUAUUAGUCUGUGAAAGAUUAAUUAUUAACUGUCAGUUUAUAAAUAUAAUGGGC